ACAGGCUUAACACAUGCAAGUCGAGGGGCAGCAUGGUCUUAGCUUGCUAAGGCUGAUGGCGACCGGCGCACGGGUGAGUAACACGUAUCCAACCUGCCGUCUACUCUUGGCCAGCCUUCUGAAAGGAAGAUUAAUCCAGGAUGGCAUCAUGAGUUCACAUGUCCGCAUGAUUAAAGGUAUUUUCCGGUAGACGAUGGGGAUGCGUUCCAUUAGAUAGUAGGCGGGGUAACGGCCCACCUAGUCAACGAUGGAUAGGGGUUCUGAGAGGAAGGUCCCCCACAUUGGAACUGAGACACGGUCCAAACUCCUACGGGAGGCAGCAGUGAGGAAUAUUGGUCAAUGGGCGAUGGCCUGAACCAGCCAAGUAGCGUGAAGGAUGACUGCCCUAUGGGUUGUAAACUUCUUUUAUAAAGGAAUAAAGUCGGGUAUGCAUACCCGUUUGCAUGUACUUUAUGAAUAAGGAUCGGCUAACUCCGUGCCAGCAGCCGCGGUAAUACGGAGGAUCCGAGCGUUAUCCGGAUUUAUUGGGUUUAAAGGGAGCGUAGAUGGAUGUUUAAGUCAGUUGUGAAAGUUUGCGGCUCAACCGUAAAAUUGCAGUUGAUACUGGAUGUCUUGAGUGCAGUUGAGGCAGGCGGAAUUCGUGGUGUAGCGGUGAAAUGCUUAGAUAUCACGAAGAACUCCGAUUGCGAAGGCAGCCUGCUAAGCUGCAACCGACAUUGAGGCUCG
rnacentral:rRNA from 1 species